GAUGAACGCUGGCGGCGUGCCUAAUACAUGCAAGUCGAGCGAACAGAUGAGGAGCUUGCUCCUCUGACGUUAGCGGCGGACGGGUGAGUAACACGUGGAUAACCUACCUAUAAGACUGGGAUAACUUCGGGAAACCGGAGCUAAUACCGGAUAAUAUAUUGAACCGCAUGGUUCAAUAGUGAAAGACGGUUUUGCUGUCACUUAUAGAUGGAUCCGCGCCGCAUUAGCUAGUUGGUAAGGUAACGGCUUACCAAGGCAACGAUGCGUAGCCGACCUGAGAGGGUGAUCGGCACACUGGAACUGAGACACGGUCCAGACUCCUACGGGAGGCAGCAGUAGGGAAUCUUCCGCAGUGGGCGAAAGCCUGACGGAGCAACGCCGCGUGAGUGAUGAAGGUCUUCGGAUCGUAAAACUCUGUUAUUAGGGAAGAACAAAUGUGUAAGUAACUAUGCACGUCUUGACGGUACCUAAUCAGAAAGCCACGGCUAACUACGU
rnacentral:rRNA from 1 species